rnacentral:rRNA from 1 species
UACGAAGGGGGCUAGCGUUGCUCGGAAUCACUGGGCGUAAAGGGUGCGUAGGCGGGUCUUUAAGUCAGGGGUGAAAUCCUGGAGCUCAACUCCAGAACUGCCUUUGAUACUGAAGAUCUUGAGUUCGGGAGAGGUGAGUGGAACUGCGAGUGUAGAGGUGAAAUUCGUAGAUAUUCGCAAGAACACCAGUGGCGAAGGCGGCUCACUGGGCCCGAUACUGACGCUGAGGCACGAAAGCGUGGGGAGCAAACAG